GCAAGUCGAGGGGCAGCAUGAACUUAGCUUGCUAAGUUUGAUGGCGACCGGCGCACGGGUGAGUAACACGUAUCCAACCUGCCGAUGACUCGGGGAUAGCCUUUCGAAAGAAAGAUUAAUACCCGAUGGCAUAAUUCUUCCGCAUGGUAGAACUAUUAAAGAAUUUCGGUCAUCGAUGGGGAUGCGUUCCAUUAGGUUGUUGGCGGGGUAACGGCCCACCAAGCCUUCGAUGGAUAGGGGUUCUGAGAGGAAGGUCCCCCACAUUGGAACUGAGACACGGUCCAAACUCCUACGGGAGGCAGCAGUGAGGAAUAUUGGUCAAUGGACGAGAGUCUGAACCAGCCAAGUAGCGUGAAGGAUGACUGCCCUAUGGGUUGUAAACUUCUUUUAUACGGGAAUAAAGUGAGGCACGUGUGCCUUUUUGUAUGUACCGUAUGAAUAAGGAUCGGCUAACUCCGUGCCAGCAGCCGCGGUAAUACGGAGGAUCCGAGCGUUAUCCGGAUUUAUUGGGUUUAAAGGGAGCGUAGGCGGACGCUUAAGUCAGUUGUGAAAGUUUGCGGCUCAACCGUAAAAUUGCAGUUGAUACUGGGUGUCUUGAGUACAGUAGAGGCAGGCGGAAUUCGUGGUGUAGCGGUGAAAUGCUUAGAUAUCACGAAGAACUCCGAUUGCGAAGGCAGCUUGCUGGACUGUAACUGACGCUGAUGCUCGAAAGUGUGGGUAUCAAACAGGAUUAGAUACCCUGGUAGUCCACACAGUAAACGAUGAAUACUCGCUGUUUGC
rnacentral:rRNA from 1 species